rnacentral:rRNA from 1 species
GAGGGGAGUGAAAUAGAACCUGAAACCAUGUGCCUACAAGGUGUAAGAGCUGGGAUUUAUCCUGGUGAUUGCGUGCCUUUUGCUUAAUGAGUCUACGAGUUAGUGUCUGUGGCAAGCUUAAGUCCUUCUGGGACGCAGGCGUAGCGAAAGCAAGUCCGAAUAGGGCGAUUUAGUUGCAGGCGCUAGACCCGAAGCGGAGGCGACCUACCCAUGGCCAGGUUGAAGCGACAGUAAAAUGUCGUGGAGGACCGAACCGAUGUGUGUUGAAAAACGCUCGGAUGAGCUGUGGGUCGGAGUGAAAGGCUAAUCAAACCCCGUGAUAGCUGGUUCUCCUCGAAAUGCAUUUAGGUGCAGCGUUGCGUGUUGAUGAGUGGGGGUAGAGCACUGAAAGGGCUAGGGGGCAUACCCGCCUACCAACCCCUAUCAAACUCCGAAUACCAUUCAAUAGAGCGCAGCAGUGAGACAGUGGGGGAUAAGCUUCAUUGUCGAAAGGGAAACAGCCCAGAUCAGCAGCUAAGGUGCCAAAAUCAUGCUAAGUGGAAAGGAGGUGGGGUUUCUUAGACAGUGAGGAUGUUGGCUUAGAAGCAGCCACCAUUUAAAAAAUGCGUAAUAGCUUACUCAUCGAGAGACCCUGCGCCGAAAAUGAUUGGCGAUAAGCAUGAUACCGAAGCUCUGGAUGUCAGAAUCCUGCGGGAAUCUGGCGUGGUAGAGGAGCAUUGUCAUCUGCAUUGAAGCGGAAAGGCGACUGACCGUGGAGUGAUGACAAGAGAGUAUGUAGACAUGAGUAACGAUAAGCCGGGUGAAAUCCCCGGCCGCCGUAAACCCAAGGUUUCCCGGGCAACGUUUUUCGUCCCGGGGUUAGUCGGGACCUAACCCGAGGCCGAUAGGCGUAGGGGAUGGUAAGCUGAUUAAUAUUUCAGCACCUGCAAAGUGAAGGGGACGCUUACUGGAUUGCAACCAGGUUAUUGAAUUCCGAGGGGAGGCCUUGUGCCGAACCGUAUUGCAUGAAUGUGAGCCAAGAAAAGCCGACACGACUAAAAGCAGCCCGUACCGUAAACCGACACAGGUGGGUGGGUAGAGUAUACCAAGGCGCAAGAGUGAAACCUGGUCAAGGAACUCGGCAAAAUAGCCCCGUAACUUCGGAAGAAGGGGUGCCCCUCUUCGGAGGGGCCGCAGUGAAAUGGGUCAACCGACUGUUUAGCAAAAACACAGCAUUCUGCUAAGGCGCAAGCCGAUGUAUAGGAUGUGACACGUGACCAAUGCCAAAAGAUUACGGUGAGGUGUUAGCACUUUAGUGCGAAGCUCUGAGCCCAAGUCCUGGUGAAUGUCGGCCGUAACUAUAACGGUCCUAAGGUAGCGAAAUUCCUUGUCGGGUAAGUUCCGACCUGCACGAAUCGUGCAACGAGUUGACCACUGUCUCGACCAGGAGCUCAGUGAAAUUGUAGUGCCGGUGAAGAUGCCGGCUACCCGCAGAAGGACGGAAAGACCCUAUAGACCUUAACUGUAAGCUGUUACUGGUUAUUCGAUUUUAAUGCUCAGCAUAAGUGGGAGACUUUGAAGGGUGCGUUUAGGCGCAUCUGGAGUCGCUAGUGAGAUACCACCCUUUGACAUUGGAUAAUCUAACCCCGAGCCGUCACCCGGCCGGGGGACCGUGGCAGCCGGUCAGUUUUACUGGGGCGGUAUCCUCCUAAAGAGUAACGGAGGAGCGCGAAGGUUGGUUCAGCACGGUCUGCAACCGUGUGUCGAGUGUAAUGGCACAAACCAGCCUAACUGUGAGACCCACAAGUCGAGCAGAUACGAAAGUAGGCCAUAGUGAUCCGGCGGUAGAAAGUGGAAUUGCCGUCGCUCAACGGAUAAAAGGUACCUUAGGGAUAACAGGCUGAUCGCGCCCAAGAGUUCAUAUCGACGGCGCGGUUUGGCACCUCGAUGUCGGCUCGUCGCAUCCUGGGGCUGGAGCAGGUCCCAAGGGUCGGGCUGUUCGCCCGUUAAAGCGGCACGCGAGC